rfam:Vagococcus penaei strain CD276, complete genome.
GGCUAGGACAAUGGUAGGCUCGCUAAGCGUGUCAGAUCUGGAAGGAAGCAGCACUACGUGGGUGCUACCAUGUGUCUGAUUUAAG